CUUAAAACUGUAUAUAAACAGAGGAUCAUCGAACUAACGCUAUACCGCCUGACCACAACGAGGAGCUCACGUGUGUGGAAACCAAUCUAACCUACAACUAGGGUUUACUUAUUGUAUAAGAAUUGCUUGAUUUUGGAUUUUGUUUUAAAAGUUCGUGGUCGAAAUGUCUGACUAUUUUGUAGCUAAUUACUUGGACGAUAUUGACAUGUAUAGUGUUGAACAACACAAGUACAUCCAUUAUAGUCAUAGCGGUAAGGGCCGGAGUAAGCGAGAGGCCAGUCUCCAUACGAACGUACACGACCCCACCGGACACACCCGAAAGGCCGUCCAGAAACUGGUCAACAACAAACAGAAGCAGAGAUCACAGACCUGAUUUGCCGCAGUCCAGAUACGGGUUUUCUCAAUGGAUACUGACCGACGGAAUGAUGAAGGAUCUGAGACUCCUGACCAAUGGCGAAACACUGACAGAUGAAAUGACCAAUCACUGAGGGAGAAAAAACAACCAAUCAAAACGACGGUGAAAGUUAACUGAGGCAACAAAGUCGUUUGAUACUGGACAGGAAAGGUGAAAAAUGAACAAUGAGAAAGAAGAAAUGUCAUUUAGACAAUUAGAGGAAGUUCACGUUUGUGUUUGAAUGGUCAGUUAAGGUGCACACGAUUUGGCCAUGUAAAUAAAGAGUUUUGUAUUUUGUAUAAUUUACAUUUUUACAAAAGAGUUGAUAAUAAAACGAUUGCCAUCGGAA